UUAUCAUUUUUCUUUUAAUUAAAUCUCUUUCCCUCGUAUUUUUCCCUCUGUUUCAGGCUACCAUCGCUCCUCUCCCUCUCGUCUCUCAGUUUCCUUCCGUCCACGGUACCGACACGAAUCCCGACGGUGGCAACACUCCCCAGCAAGGGUCUUUCUCGUCUACGUCCCCUUCCCCUGCCGUCGACCGCGCACUCCAGCUCAUCCAAUCGGACUACGCCGACAGCAAGCUCCAGGCAGCCCACUAGAUCCGGCGGCUCAAGCCAACUGCCAACGCUCGUCUACUAACUCAACCUCAUCCUCCACUCCACGGCUCAAAAUGGAAAGCCAGGCCCUUGCCCACGCUAAACUACACUCAUCCAGUACCCGUUCGACGAGAUUACCCAGAGACCAUAUGCACGCACCAAACCCACUGAAGUCCUCUAUCCAAUUGUCAAAACGGAGCCCUAAAUCUAUCUCAGACGGGCUCCAGAAGGACUCAAAAAAGGACCUGUCUCGGAUUCUGCGAACGGACGCUGCUGUAGAAGGCAUUGCGAGGAAAGCGAACUCGAGAAAGUAUAAACAGCUGUGGCCUAAAGCUGUUUUGGAGGCCCUGGAUGAGGCUAUCAGAGAGAAUCAAUGGGAGACUGCUCUCAAGAUUUUUGGAUUGCUUCGUCAGCAACAUUGGUACGAGGCAAGAUGCCAAACAUACACGAAGUUGUUAAUGAUGCUUGGCAAGUGCAGGCAACCUGCGCAGGCCAGCUUGCUUUUUGAGAUCAUGUUGUCUGAAGGGCUUAGACCUACUCUUGACGUCUAUACUGCUCUUGUAAGUUCUUAUGGGCAAUGCGGCCUUCUUGACAAGGCUUUAUCAACUCUUGAGGAUAUGAAAUCAAUCUCUGACUGCAAACCAGAUAUAUACACGUAUUCUAUUCUUAUUAGCUGUUGCACUAAGUUUCAUCGUUUUGAUCUGAUUGGACGGAUUCGUGCAGAGAUGUCAUAUUUGGGGAUUGAAUGCAGCACUGUCACAUACAAUACUAUUAUCAACGGAUACGGUAAGGGGGAAAUGUUUGAACUAAUGGAGGACACACUGACGGAAAUGAUUGAAAGUGAAAGCUGCCUUCCUGAUAUUUUCACGUUAAAUACUUUUGUCAGGGCUUAUGGGAAAUUAGGGCAGAUUGAGAAAAUGGAGGAGUGGUAUAAUGAAUUCCAGUUAAUGGGAAUACAGCCAGACAUGAAGACAUUCAAUAUCCUGAUCAAAUCAUAUGGAAAAGCAGGCAUGUAUGAGAAGAUGAGGUCAGUUAUGUAUUAUAUGGAGAAAAGAUUUUUCUCGCCAACAAUUGUUACUUUUAAUACAGUCAUCGAGGUGUUUGGAAAAGCUGGAAAUAUUGAAAAGAUGGAUACAUACUUCAAGAAAAUGAAGCAUCAAGGAAUCAAGCCGAAUGCUAUUACCUACUGCUCUCUUGUUAGUGCUUACAGUAAAGCUGGACAUAUAGUAAAAGUUGAUUCGAUUUUGAGGCAAGUAGAGAAUUCAGAUGUAAAACUAGAUACUCCUUUUUAUAACUGCAUUAUCAGCGCAUAUGGUCAGACUGGUGAUGUGGAAAGGAUGGGUGACUUGUUCUUGAAAAUGAAAGAUAGAGGAUGCAAACCGGAUAAUGUCACCUUUGCUACCAUGAUCCAAGCCUACAAUGCAAAAGGCAUGAAUGAGGCUGCUGAAAAAUUGGAGAAAAAGAGGAUUGCAGCUGAAGAGAAAUUUGGCAUGAAUUUGAUUGGAUGGUAGCAUGAUUUAUUGUUUUGGAAAGCAACUCUCACAAAUGCUCAAUGGUGGUCGGAUCUCAGGAUUGAUAAUUGCUUCCUUGUAACCACUGUUAUAGCAGGUCUUAUCGACUUAUUCUAAGCUUCUAUAUUUACUUCCCUCUAUUUUUGGUUAUCUUGUACGUUACACGUAUUUGCAUGCUACUGUAUAUAGUGCCUUAAAGCAAAAUACAUCUGGUAAUUGAAGGAUGCAUACAUCAAAUGGUCCAACAUGGCCCAAAGGACUGGCCAUUUUUUAAAAGCGGGUGUCCAAGACGUAUUGGCAGAUGAGAAUGCAUCACUAUAGGUUAAUGGUGAAGGUAAAGAGGACUGUGAACACAUGGUGGAAAUUUCAUGGGGUCCCAAGAUGGGGCAUAGAAGUGAAUGCAUUAUGUGAGGAGGAAUGGUUGCAUCCACUGCAAGAAGGGAAAAAAAUAAAAUUGCUGCAGACAAUUUGCUAUAGAAAUCAAUGACAAAUGAUUGCACCAGUGAGAAAGAUGACUUACGGGAGUUUAGUUAAAUUGAGAUGAG